rnacentral:rRNA from 1 species
GAUGAACGCUAGCGGCAGGCCUAAUACAUGCAAGUCGAGCGGGUGCUUUCAGCAAUGGAAGCACUAGUGGCGCACGGGUGCGUAACGCGUAUGCAGCCUACCUUUUACUGGGGGGAUAGGCCCUCCCGAAAGGGAGAUUAAUACCGCAUAACACAGGGGAGUGGCAUCACUUUACUGUUAAAACUCCGGUGGUAAAAGAU